UACGGAGGAUGCAAGCGUUAUCCGGAAUGAUUGGGCGUAAAGCGUCCGCAGGUGGCGAUGUAAGUCUGCUGUUAAAGAGUCUAGCUCAACUAGAUAAGAGCAGUGGAAACUACAUAGCUAGAGUACGUUCGGGGCAGAGGGAAUUCCUGGUGUAGCGGUGAAAUGCGUAGAGAUCCGGAGGAACACCAGCGGCGAAGGCGGCAUCCUGGACUGGUCCUGACACUCAGGAGCGAAAGCGUGGGGAGCGAUCCGG
rnacentral:rRNA from 1 species